UCAAAAGCGUGUUUCGUGUUACGGUGUAAUUAAAGUGAAAGCAAUAAAGUGUUACACAAGUGCCGAGAAUAAAAAUAACAACAAUGAAAACGUCAAAGCCACCCAUUAAAUAUGGAUUAAAUUCAUCGCAAACUUGUUACAUUUGUCGAUAAAAGUGUGGGCUAGAAUUCUUUGCGGUGGCAACACUUUGCGAGAGAGAUGAGAGUAUGAGAAAAGUGACUGCGCCGUGUGAAAAGGUGACCAUCUUUGGCAAAUAAAUAACAGAGACAGUUGGUAGUGUGGAAUUGUUUGGAAAAUCGAAACUAAACCAAACAACAACAACAACAAAAACGACGAGAGUGCACAAAUGAUGCAAAUAAAUGUAGUUACAAUAACAAGUAUAGAGAAAAACUCAUAUCAACAAUGUAAAACAAUACUAAAUAACCAAAUUUUACGGUAGAAUGGCAUUUGUUAAGCAACAAAAGGUAGAGAAGGAACAAAAAGCAACUAAAUUAGCAGAAGUAUUUGUAUGUAUGUAGUUAAUUAAGUGAUGAACACCCAAGUAGUAAUAUCGAUGGCGUAAAGCAGCGCUUAAUCUCUUUAAUAAUGAUAACAGGUUGCACUUGAAGCCCGCAAAACAAAGAAAUUCAAAAUUGUGGAUAAGUAGCAACAAAGCACAUCGCAUUGAAGCACCAAAAUGACCAAAAGCGCUAGCUGCAAAGCAAAUGGUAACAAGUAAUAGCCAAUAAAGUUAACAAUAACAACAAUUGUGAGAAAAAAUCUCCGAACACCAGCUCAGCAUAUUAAUAGCAACUCCAAUUCUGGCAACAACAACAACCACAACUUGCAAACACCAACAGUUCAACACAACAGUCGUUGACUUUAGCGGCCACAAAGCCCAUUGAAAAUACAAUACUAUUAAACAUACAAACAGUCAAACAGCCAAAACUUCAGCAUUAAUGAAGUAGCUGAAGAUGAUCAAGCUAAUAAUGAUGAUUAGAUAGUGUUAAUAAUGAUGUUGAGGUUGUUGAAGAAUCACAGAACAAAAAUGCGAUAGGAAACAAACAUGAACACUUAUGCAUACAGCGCCACAAUCACACAUUGCCGUGUGUGAAUGUUUGUAGGACUGUGUGCAUGUGUGUGUGUACAAAUGCCGAAAAAACCUAAUGGGAAAAAUGUAUCUAUAUCUGUUUUUGUUCUUGUCGCCACUUUUGCUAGAAGCUAUAAUACUAUUGACAUGACUGUAAAUGUCACUGUUGUUGUUGUAGUUGUUAUUGCUGUUGUUACGGCUGCUCCUGCUGUUAUGCUAUUAUUGUGGUUGUUAGUUUUUUGGUCUUUGCACCAUCAACAUUUUAAGCCUCUGCGCCGAAGAUUAACUAUAGAUAUUUAGAUUUUUACGAUUGUACAUAUGCACAUACAGACAUAACAGCGAUUACAUACAAUGUAUGUAUUUUAAGUUAGUUAACCAAGAUUUUUGGCUGUGUAAAAUAUUUACACAUAUUAAUACUCACUAUAGAAUUGCGGAAAAAUUUUGAAAAUAUUUUAUUACACAAAAAAAAAAGUUUAAAAGUGACUGCUUUGCUAGUUUUUUUCUCUAAUCUUUCUUUUUAAUAUUUAUUCAAUAUUUUCUUGACAAACAUUUUUUUUUUUAAAUUUUUAAAUUUUUUUUCACUGACUUAAGUGUAUUUAUUUUAUAUAAUUAUUUUUUAAUCAAUAGGUACAAUACACAUUUCUUUUUUUUGUUACUGCGUACACAAACAGUUGAUGUCACAUUUGCUGAGAGUAGAUAAUAUUUCUUCGCUUCGCUUCUCUUAUUUUAUUUAUUUAUUUUCACUUUCGUUUGUGUACUUUGUGUUGAUCUACUUUUGCCACAAAUCAAAUUUGCAUUUCAUUAUCUUUUAAUUAUAAAUUCAAUAACAUCUCAUUUAUUGCUCACUUAUAGACGAAAAAGCUGGCGACUCAAUUUCUUCGCACACACAUACACUACGGCACGUCACUACACUUUACCGAUAUUUCGUAGAUAAUUUUUUUCUAUUUCUAUGUCGCACGGGUGCACUUUAACACAUUUUAGUUUAUUUUAUUUUUUCACUAUUUAUUUAUUUUUUGUAUAUAUUCUUCUAUUAUUUGUUAGAAUAUUUACACUGUAUGUGGUUGUUGUUGUUUUUUGCUUGCAACUUGUGUAUACAUAUCUAUUAUUUGACAUCGCGCAUUCAUAUAGAUUAUGCACAAACAACAACAAAUAAAUAAAGCACAUAUAAAAAUUUAUAUUACACGCGACGGCAUUGACGAAGAGACAAAUAGAAUUUUGCUGCCAUUCAUUGCUCCCCGGCACGUAAUACUAUUCAGGCUAACCACACAAAAAAUUUCAUAUCCCGUCGUCGUCGUCGUCAUCGGCGGCGACAUUCGACGUUCUCAUCGUUGCCAUCAGCACACAAAAAAGAUCUCUGCAAUAACAGCCAAAUACUCGAUUAAUGUAUACAACAACAGAAGGGAGAACCGACCGACCAGCAAGUCAACCAACCAAACAACACACAACAACAGCACAACAACAUGACAGCAGCAGCCGUAAACAGCACAAACACACACGCACACAUACACACAGUCAACGGUAUAAGAACGGUGUGGUAAAAAGGAAGUGACGAAAAAAGUCAACAUAUUCGGUAUCCGUAUUCGUACGUGUGGUGCGCCAUACACGUAAAAUCACUUAGCCCAGAGAGCAACAGCAACAAACACACAAGGUAACACUGAUACAUGCAUACAAACAUAUGUAGAUACAUUCGUUUACUCGAAAGCAUGCAACAGCACAAGCAUAAAGCAGCAGUGCGGCAGUGUCAGUGGCAACACCAAAUGCGAACCGACUAACGCAAAAACAGUAACAACAUUAUUUAAUAGUAACAACAGUGCGACAUGGCUUAAGCAUAUCAACAGAGCGCGCGCACAAAAAGCGAUGGCGUUGCCAGAUGGGUACUUUAACGCGGUUUGUCAACUAUUUGGUAGAAGAGCAUGAAAUUUACACAAUAAAUAAAUUAUAUUUUUAGUUAGUAAAAUAUAUCGUUAUAUCUCUGCAAUUUACAGUUAUAAAUUUCUAUGCUAGUGUGAAGUACAUUAAAUAAUUUUAUUAAAUGCGACUUACGCAAUAUCUAAUAAAAAUUUAUAGAAAUCGUCUUCUAAAAUGUAACAAUAAAGUCAGAAGUUAUUAGAUAAUUUAAUAAUCA